UACGGGGGGGGCAAGCGUUGUUCGGAAUUACUGGGCGUAAAGGGCGCGUAGGCGGCCUGCUAAGUCGGAUGUGAAAUCCCUCGGCUCAACCGAGGAACUGCAUCCGAUACUGGCGGGCUUGAAUCCGGGAGAGGGAUGCGGAAUUCCAGGUGUAGCGGUGAAAUGCGUAGAUAUCGUAAGGAAGACCAGUGGCGAAGGCGGGUCUCUGGACAGUUCCUGACGCUGAGGCACGAAGGUCAGGGGAGCAAACGGGG
rnacentral:rRNA from 1 species